rnacentral:rRNA from 1 species
CCUACGGGGGGCAGCAGUGGGGAAUAUUGCGCAAUGGGCGAAAGCCUGACGCAGCGACGCCGCGUGAGGGAUGAAGGUUUUCGGAUCGUAAACCUCUGUCAGAAGGGAAGAAAGUGCGUGGUGCUAAUCAGCCGCGUAUUGACGGUACCUUCAAAGGAAGCACCGGCUAACUCCGUGCCAGCAGCCGCGGUAAUACGUAGGGGGCGAGCGUUAUCCGGAUUUAUUGGGCGUAAAGCGUGCGUAGGCGGCUUGUUAAGUCCAGAAUUAAAGCCCGAGGCUUAACCUCGGUUCGUUCUGGAUACUGG